rnacentral:rRNA from 1 species
CACACCGCCCGUCACAUGACGGAAGUUGGCCUUACCCGAAGUCAGUGCGCUAACCGCAAGGAAGCAGCUGCCGAAGGUAGAGUCGGCGACUGGCGUG